UUUUCAGUAGGGAAGAAGCCCUUUUUGGGGGUGACGGUACUUGCAGAAGAAGCGCCGGCUAAUUACGUGCCAGCAGCCGCGGUAAUACGUAGGGCGCAAGCGUUAUCCGGAAUUAUUGGGCGUAAAGAGCUCGUAGGCGGUUUGUCGCGUCUGCCGUGAAAGUCCGAGGCUCAACCUUGGAUCUGCGGUGGGUACGGGCAGACUAGAGUGAUGUAGGGGAGACUGGAAUUCCUGGUGUAGCGGUGAAAUGCGCAGAUAUCAGGAGGAACACCGAUGGCGAAGGCAGGUCUCUGGGCAUUUACUGACGCUGAGGAGCGAAAGCAUGGGGAGCGAACAGGAUUAGAUACCCUGGUAGUCCAUGCCGUAAACGUUGGGCACUAGGUGUGGGGGACAUUCCACGUUUUCCGCGCCGUAGCUAACGCAUUAAGUGCCCCGCCUGGGGAGUACGGCCGCAAGGCUAAAACUCAAAGGAAUUGACGGGGGCCCGCACAAGCGGCGGAGCAUGCGGAUUAAUUCGAUGCAACGCGAAGAACCUUACCAAGGCUUGACAUGUUCCAGACCGGGCCAGAGAUGGUCUUUCCCCUUUUGGGGCUGGUUCACAGGUGGUGCAUGGUUGUCGUCAGCUCGUGUCGUGAGAUGUUGGGUUAAGUCCCGCAACGAGCGCAACCCUCGUUCCAUGUUGCCAGCGGGUUAUGCCGGGGACUCAUGGGAGACUGCCGGGGUCAACUCGGAGGAAGGUGGGGAUGACGUCAAAUCAUCAUGCCCCUUAUGUCUUGGGCUUCACGCAUGCUACAAUGGCCGGUACAAUGGGUUGCGAUACUGUGAGGUGGAGCUAAUCCCUAAAAGCCGGUCUCAGUUCGGAUUGGGGUCUGCAACUCGACCCCAUGAAGUCGGAGUCGCUAGUAAUCGCAGAUCAGCAACGCUGCGGUGAAUACGUUCCCGGGCCUUGUACACACCGCCCGUCAAGUCACGAAAGUUGGUAACACCCGAAGCCGAUGGCCUAACCACC
rnacentral:rRNA from 1 species